ensembl:lncRNA
UUUGUAGAGAGAACACUUGUUUACAAAUUAACCAUGUUCCAAAUAUUUUUUUCUGAGAUGGAUGUAUGUUAAAAAGGUACGAAUGUUUUGAUUUUAAAAAUCUGAUAAGAGCUUUCUACUUGGCACUCCGAUUCAGUGAGGGAUUAUAGUGGUUCCAUGUGCGUGUAUUCAUGAGUUAAUAAUGUUGUGUUCCGGUGCAUGGUCGCUCAGAAUCGGGUCGGCCUGGUGAGAUUUUUUUUGGCUGAGGGAGCUCCCCCUCUAAAUGUCUGUGUCUGCCAUUUGUAUGGACUUGACAGCAGUUUCUCCUGGCUCUCUUUAGGGUACCAAACUCUGCAGAAAAUUUGUGCAGGACUCCCCUCGCAUGAAUCUUGUUUAACACAUUAAACUCGAGAUUAAUAUUUUUAUUUAGUCAGAAGUUAAGUUUUGUCACGUCAGCUCCUGCUCCAUGAAUGAGUGAUGUUCACAGUGUCCUGUCCUCAACAGCCCUACUCAGCUUCUGUACACCUGUGCUUGUGGCUUCUGUUAUGCAGUCAAUCCAUCUCAGGUUUGGUCUUCCUCUUUUCCUGCUGCCUUCUACUUUUCCCAGCAUGAUUGUCUUUUCCAGGGAUCCUGCCUUCUCAUGAUGUGCCCAAAGCAGGACAGCCUCAAUUUUAUCAGUUUUUCCAGCGAUAGUUCAGGCUUAAUUUCCUCUAAGACCCACUUGUUUGUCUUUCUGGGUAUCCAUAGAGCUCUUCUCUAACAGCAUAUUUCGGUCAAAUGAAUCCAUUUCUUUCCGGUCAGCCUUCUUCACUGUCCAGCUUUCUCACCUGUACAUAGUAAUGGAGAAUACAAGAGUGUGGAUAAUCUUGGCCUUAUUCUCUAAUGACGCUUCCUUACACUUAAUGAUCUUUCCCGGUUCUUUCAUUGCUGCCCUUCCAAGUCUCAGUCUUCUCUUGAUUUCUUGGCUGCAGUCUCCAUUUAAGUUGAUGAACAAGGGGCCGGCCAGCUGGCGCAGCAGUUAAGUGCUCACGUUCCGCUUCGGUGGCCCGGGGUUCAGGGGUUCGGAUCCCAGGUGUGAACAUGGCACCACUUGGCAAGCCAUGCUGUGGUAGGCAUCCCACAUAUAAAGCAGAGGAAGAUGGGCACGGAUGUUAGCUCAGGGCCAGUCUUGGCAGCAGUUAGCUCAGGGCUAAUCUUCCUUAAGUAAGUAAAGAAAUAAAUAGAUGACCGAACCAAGGUAAACAAAUCUUUAAACGCUUCCAAUAUCUUCAUUGUCUACGUUAAAGUUGUCUAGUUCUUCCGUAGUGGUGAUAUUUGUUUUCUUGAUGUUCAAAUGCAUUCCUAUUUUGGCACUUUCUUCUUUUUCUUUCAUCAGAAGUCCUUUCAAGUCAUUGCUGCUUUCUGCCAGUAAGAUGGUAUCAUCUGUAUAUCUUAGAUUGUUGAUGUUUCUUCCACCAAUUUUCUCUCCUCCUUCAUCUGAGUCUAGGCCAGUUUUUCAUGACACGUUCUGUGUACAGAUUAAACAGAUGAGAUAAAAUUCACCCUUGUCUGACCCUUUGCCUAUAGGAAACCAUUCUAUCUCUUCAUAUUCGGUCCUAACAGUGGCUUCUUGUCCACAAAACAGGUUAUGCAUGAGGACAGUCGAGUGCUGAGGCGUGCCCAUUUCUUUCAGAGCAGCCCACAGCUUUUCAUGAUCCACGCAAACACUUGACUUUAGUAGUAGUGGCAUAAAUUCUUUGUUUUCCUAAGAUGAAUAAAUUUUUCAUACCUUACAACAGUUGUAAACAAUAUUUUCCAUAUGAUUAAUUUCCAAUUUACUUGACUCUAAGCAACUUCCCAAACCUGUUUCCAAUUAGAUAGGGAUUGUACUUCCACCUGUAUUCCCAGAGAAGCUCCAUAUUUACUAGCUCCGUUAUUGGUAAAGCUUUGUGUUUUUAACUACCAACUAGCUGCUCUUCCUGUUAGAAUCAGCCUUUUGGAGUCCUGCCAGGUAAUGGUUGACUCUUACAAAAGCCUAUUGACAAAUUCGCACUUGGUAUGACUCAGGGAGCACAUUGUCUUUUACCAUCUAUUUAAAUAGUUGUGGAUUAAAGACUGAUUCAUUUGAGAAAAAGCUUGUGUGGAAUGGUUCUCCGAAGUUAGAUUCGUAUGAGCUACCUAACCAUGGUUGGUGGUUUUGUUGUUGCUGUUUUUUUUUUCUUUUAAAGUGAAAAAUCGUAAAGGUGCUUUAAUGAAACAAAGGAGGACUUUCUUGGAAAUAGGUUGUACUUGAAGGGAGAGAAGAAGUGGAGGUGUUACCAAAACCAAAGUGGCACCUGGAGUUUAACGGGAAUGAAUGAUACAGGAGUAAAUAUAUGCGUCUCUGGACACUUUCCAUUAUCUCCU